CUGCCGCUAGGUAGGUGGGCCCUAGAAGGCGGGGCCUGAUGCGGGACUUUGUGGAGAAGUUGGGCUUGCAGCCAAUUGACUGGGAUCCCACCCCGGCUGCUGGGGGCACUACCUAUGAGUAAAUGUAAGAUGUAACGGGGGUCUUCCCUACACUCCAGUGCUAGGAAGGGCUAGGUAAACAGUCUUGACCCAGGAGACUCGCAGAACCGAAAUGUUAUCAAAGCAAGGAUCUCUCCGAGCUCUCUCAGAAGAGCAGAAAGCAAAGGAUACUCGGGAACAAAUUAAUAUAUUUCUAAUCCUGGCAGACUGGAAAGGCUGGAAACCAGUUCAAGGUACAGUCUACCAUGGCAAAGAGGUCACGGCAACAGGGUCUUGAAGCAGCCGUCACAGUCAGAAAACAGGAUGCACGCAUGCAUGCAAGUGUUGAGCUGGCCUUCCUCUUCAUAAUGCAGUCUUGAAACUACCUCAGAAAAUGGUGCAGCCCAGAGUGGCAGACAGAGUCUCCCCACCACAAUUAAGUUGAUCCUAGAUAGGCGUGCCCAACAUCAGGCUGACGGGUAGCACUAUCAGGGCCCCUCCUUAAAGGCUGGAUGAACGUGGUGGUGAAGGACUUUUGCUCGGCUACUUUUCCUCUCAGGCUCUGAUCUGGACUGAACCCUCACCGUCCAAUCAGAGUAGGAACCGUGUAAAGCAGGUGUGCUUUUCAGCCUUGUCUUACAGGCAGCGAAGCUGACCCACAGGCAGAUGUUCCAAGGAUCUGAUGAUGCUCAGUGUGAAGCAGGGGCUUGGCCUGACCUUGCCUUAAUAGGUACUCUUGUUCUUCAGGGUUUUUCCACCUAAAACCUGAUGUGUGCCUCAGUGGUUGACUGUAGCUUGAUGUCGGUAAGGCGUGGAGCUAAGAUUUCACCCUGGACAAUGUAGCUCCACGUCAGCAACCUUAACACGGAUGUCAAGUCGUCUCCACUCUCCAUCAAGGCGGGGGAGUCUUCAAGCUGCCCCAGAGCCUGUCCUUAUCUGGCCUUUGAGCAAGUAAUCUGUCGGCUCCUGUAAAACUGCACAGCAUCCCAGGGCCACAGCACCUCCAUUCUUAAUGGCAAUCUCAAUGUGUUAGGCAAGUCUAUUUUCCUGACAUAGAGGAAACUGUCAGCAUUAGGGUGACAGUUUAAGACUCACACAAAGCCUGCAGCACAGGGCAUCAUCCCCUUCUAGAAUCACAUGGCCAUCCUUACCUGGUAUUGAAGAGUAGGUCCUCCAGCCUACCUCACACCCAUCUUUCCCUUCCAUAAGGAGUAGGUUUCAAAGCCAGGAAUUGUGGCACAUGUCCUCAGUACCAGCAUUCAGGAAGCAGAGGCA